CGUGGGCGUUGGAAGAUUGAAGGGGGCUGCUCCUAGUACGAGAGGACCGGAGUGGACGAACCUCUGGUGUUCGGGUUGUGUCGCCAGACGCAUUGCCCGGUAGCUAAGUUCGGAAUCGAUAACCGCUGAAAGCAUCUAAGCGGGAAGCGAGCCCUGAGAUGAGUCUUCCCUGAUACUUUAAGUAUCCUAAAGGGUUGUCGGAGACUACGACGUUGAUAGGUCAGGUGUGUAAGUGCUGUGAGGCAUUGAGCUAACUGAUACUAAUUGCCCGUGAGGCUUAACCAU
rnacentral:rRNA from 1 species